AAUCUUCCGCAGUGGACGCAAGUCUGACGGAGCAACGCCGCGUGAACGAUGAAGGCCUUCGGGUCGCAAAGUUCUGUUGUUAGGGAAGAACAAGAAUUGUUCGAAUAGGGCAGUACCUUGACGGUACCUAACCAGAAAGCCACGGCAAACUACGUGCUAGCAGCCGCGGUAGUACGUAGGUGGCAAGUGUUGUCCGGAAUUAUUGGGCGUAAAGCGCGCGCAGGCGGUCUUUUAAGUCUGAUGUGAAAGCCCUCGGCUCAACCGGGGAGGGUCAUUGGAAACUGGGAGACUUGAGUGCAGAAGAGGAGAGUGGAAUUCCAUGUGUAGCGGUGAAAUGCGUAGAGAUAUGGAGGAACACCAGUGGCGAAGGCGACUCUCUGGUCUGCAACUGACGCUGAGGCGCGAAAGCGUGGGGAGCAAAC
rnacentral:rRNA from 1 species